AUUGAACGCUGGCGGCAGGCCUAACACAUGCAAGUCGAGCGGUAGAGAGGUGCUUGCACCUCUUGAGAGCGGCGGACGGGUGAGUAAUGCCUAGGAAUCUGCCUGGUAGUGGGGGAUAACGCUCGGAAACGGACGCUAAUACCGCAUACGUCCUACGGGAGAAAGCAGGGGACCUUCGGGCCUUGCGCUAUCAGCUGGGCCUAGGUCGGAUUAGCUAGUUGGUGAGGUAAUGGCUCACCAAGGCGACGAUCCGUAACUGGUCUGAGGAGGAUGAUCAGUCACACUGGAACUGAGACACGGUCCAGACUCCUACGGGAGGCAGCAGUGGGGAAUAUUGGACAAUGGGCGAAAGCCUGAUCCAGCCAUGCCGCGUGUGUGAAGAAGGUCUUCGGAUUGUAAAGCACUUUAAGUUGGGAGGAAGGGUCGUUACCUAAUACGUGACGAUUUUGACGUUACCGACAGAAUAAGCACCGGCUAACUCUGUGCCAGCAGCCGCCGUAACAC
rnacentral:rRNA from 1 species